AGUGAACGCUGGCGGUAGGCCUAACACUUGCAAGUCGAACGGCAGCACAGUAAGAGCUUGCUCUUACGGGUGGCGAGUGGCGGACGGGUGAGGAAUACAUCGGAAUCUACUUUUUCGUGGGGGAUAACGUAGGGAAACUUACGCUAAUACCGCAUACGACCUACGGGUGAAAGCAGGGGAUCUUCGGACCUUGCGCGAUUGAAUGAGCCGAUGUCGGAUUAGCUAGUUGGCGGGGUAAAGGCCCACCAAGGCGACGAUCCGUAGCUGAUCUGAGAGGAUGAUCAGCCACACUGGAACUGAGACACGGUCCAGACUCCUACGGGAGGCAGCAGUGGGGAAUAUUGGACAAUGGGCGCAAGCCUGAUCCAGCCAUACCGCGUGGGUGAAGAAGGCCUUCGGGUUGUAAAGCCCUUUUGUUGGGAAAGAAAAGCAGCAGGUUAAUACCCCGCUGUUCUGACGGUACCCAAAGAAUAAGCACCGGCUAACUUCGUG
rnacentral:rRNA from 1 species